UACAGAGGGUGCAAGCGUUGUUCGGAAUUAUUGGGCGUAAAGGGCGCGUAGGCGGUGCUGUAAGUCUGUGGUGAAAUCUCUGGGCUCAACUCAGAGUCUGCCAUAGAAACUGCAGUGCUGGAGUGUGGGAGAGGUGAGUGGAAUUCCUGGUGUAGCGGUGAAAUGCGUAGAUAUCAGGAGGAACACCUGUGGCGAAAGCGGCUCACUGGACCAUAACUGACGCUGAUGCACGAAAGCUAGGGGAGCAAACAGG
rnacentral:rRNA from 1 species